GAUGAAGAACGUAGCGAAAUGCGAUACGUAAUGUGAAUUGCAGAAUUCAGUGAAUCAUCGAGUCUUUGAACGCACAUUGCGCCCCCUGGUAUUCCGGGGGGCAUGCCUGUCCGAGCGUCAUUGCUGCCCUCAAGCACGGCUUGUGUGUUGGGCCUCCGUCCUCCUCCCGGGGGACGGGCCCGAAAGGCAGCGGCGGCACCGCGUCCGGUCCUCGAGCGUAUGGGGCUUCGUCACCCGCUCUUGUAGGCCCGGCCGGCGCUUGCCGACACAUCAAUCUUUUUUCCAGGUUGACCUCGGAUCAGGUAGGGAUACCCGCUGAACUUAAGCGUAUCAAUAAGCGGAGGA
rnacentral:misc_RNA from 1 species